AUUGAACGCUGGCGGCAGGCCUAACACAUGCAAGUCGAGCGAGCGGCGGACGGGUGAGUAAUGUCUGGGAAACUGCCUGAGGGAGGGGGAUAACUACUGGAAACGGUAGCUAAUACCGCAUACCAUCAGAUGUGCCCAGAUGGGAUUAGCUAGUAGGUGGGGUAAUGGCUCACCUAGGCGACGAUCCCUAGCUGGUCUGAGAGGAUGACCAGCCACACUGGAACUGAGACACGGUCCAGACUCCUACGGGAGGCAGCAGUGGGGAAUAUUGCACAAUGGGCGAAAGCCUGAUGCAGCCAUGCCGCGUGUGUGAAGAAGGCCUUCGGAUUGUAAAGCACUUUCAGUGGGGAGGCGUUACUCACAGAAGAAGCACCGGCUAACUCCGUGCCAGCAGCCGCGGUAAUUC
rnacentral:rRNA from 1 species